AAAUUACUGGAUGUGGUUGUUGACAAAAGUGGAGACUACACUAUACUUGAGUUGGAGAAACUCUAUGCCUUACUGAGUCAGUGUAUUUACCGACAUCGUGGAGACUAUGACAAAAGCAAAUUGAUUGAGGCAAUGACAAGAGAAAUUGCAGCCUUCAAUCCAUAUGAAUUCACAAUUUCAUAAUAUUUUCAAAUCCCUGAAAUCCUAUUGAAAAUUAAUGUGAGACCAAAUAUUAUACAUGCACAGUAGGUUUUAUCUAAUAUAGCAUUUCUAGAUUUUUACUCAUAGAGGACAAACCCUACAUCGAGAACAAGAAUUACAGAAGGCAAAUGGUACCUGACAGUCUUAACCUACUGCGUGCUUGCUUUUUCCUCCCUUGUGGAACUGAACCUCUUACAACUAUCAGAAUCUAAUCAGUUUA